UACGUAGGGGGCAAGCGUUGUUCGGAAUUACUGGGCGUAAAGGGCGCGUAGGCGGCACGGCAAGUCGGGAGUGAAAGCCCGGGGCUCAACCCCGGAACGUCUUUCGAAACUGCCGAGCUAGAGUGCGGAAGGGGCAACUGGAAUUCCCAGUGUAGCGGUGAAAUGCGUAGAUAUUAGGAAGAACACCUGAGGCGAAGGCGGGUUGCUGGGCCGACACUGACGCUGAGGCGCGAAAGCCAGGGGAGCGAACGGG
rnacentral:rRNA from 1 species